rnacentral:rRNA from 1 species
UACAGAGGGGGCAAGCGUUGUUCGGAAUUACUGGGCGUAAAGGGCGCGUAGGCGGCCUUCUAAGUCGAACGUGAAAUCCCCGGGCUCAACCUGGGAACUGCAUUUGUGACUGCACGGCUGGAGUGCGGCAGAGGGGGAUGGAAUUCCGCGUGUAGCAGUGAAAUGCGUAGAUAUGCGGAGGAACACCGAUGGCGAAGGCAAUCCCCUGGGCCUGCACUGACGCUCAUGCACGAAAGCGUGGGGAGCAAACAGG